rnacentral:rRNA from 1 species
UACAUGGGGUGCAAACGUUGCUCGGAAUUAUUGGGCGUAAAGCGCGCGUAGGCGGUUACUCAAGUCGGAUGUGAAAGCCCUCGGCUUAACUGAGGAAGUGCACCCGAAACUGAGUAGCUAGAGUACUAAAGAGGGUCGCGGAAUUCCUGGUGUAGCGGUGAAAUGCGCAGAUAUCAGGAGGAACACCGGUGGCGAAGGCGGUUCUCUGGGCCUGUACUGACGCUGAGGAACGAAAGCGUGGGGAGCGAACAGG